rnacentral:rRNA from 1 species
UACGAGGGGGGCAAGCGUUUGUUCGGAAUUAUUGGGCGUAAAGGGCGCGUAGGCGGUGCGGUAAGUCUGAUGUGAAAUCUCCGGGCUCAACUCGGAGUCUGCAUCAGAAACUGCCGUGCUUGAGUGUGGGAGAGGUGAGUGGAAUUCCCGGUGUAGUGGUGGAAUGCGUAGAUAUCGGGAGGAACACCAGUGGCGAAGGCGGUUGCCUGGAGCUUUGCUGACGCUGAUGCGCGAAAGCGUGGGGAGCGA